UACGUAGGGACCAAGCGUUGUUCGGAUUUACUGGGCGUAAAGGGCUCGUAGGUGGCCAACUAAGUCGGACGUGAAAUCCCUCGGCUUAACCGGGGAACUGCGUCCGAUACUGGUUGGCUUGAGUUUGGGAGAGGGAUGCGGAAUUCCAGGUGUAGCGGUGAAAUGCGUAGAUAUCUGGAGGAACACCGGUGGCGAAGGCGGCAUCCUGGACCAAUACUGACGCUGAGGAGCGAAAGCCAGGGGAGCAAACGGG
rnacentral:rRNA from 1 species